rnacentral:rRNA from 1 species
AAUGAAUGUUGGCGGCGUGGAUUAGGCAUGCAAGUCGAGCGCGAUAUGUAGCAAUACAUGGAGAGCGGCGAAAGGGAGAGUAAUACGUAGGUAUCUACCUCGGGUCUGGGAUAGCAGCGGGAAACUGCUGGUAAUACCAGAUAACGUCUCCGGACCAAAAGGUGUGAUUCCACCUGAGGAGGAGCCUACGGCCUAUUAGCUAGUUGGUAGGGUAACGGCCUACCAAGGCAAAGAUGGGUAUGGGGUGUGGGAGCAUGCCCCACUCACUGGACUGAGACACUG